CCAUAGUCAAAUUAUAAUCAAUUUUUGAUUGAAAUACAGUUCUGAAACAUGUACUGAAACCACACACCCUCUAAGAUCAUGCAUAGAUAAUCCUUAUCUCUAAUAUUUCUCAAAUCUGCGGUUCACAAAGCUGCUUUUGAGGUGUUUGAUGAAAUGCAGCACUCAAAUGAAUCACUAACGAUCAUGUGUUUUUUAUUAAACAGUUGAACGUGACUUAUUAGUACA